rnacentral:rRNA from 1 species
UACGAGGGGGCAAGCGUUGUUCGGAAUUAUUGGGCGUAAAGGGCGCGUAGGCGGUGCGGUAAGUCACCUGUGAAAUCUCUGGGCUUAACCCAGAGGCUGCUUCCGAAACUGCUGUGCUUGAGUGUGGGAGAGGCGCGUGGAAUUGCAGGUGUAGCGGUGAAAUGCGUAGAUAUUGGGAGGAACACCAGUGGCGAAGGCGGCUCACUGGACCGGUACUGACGCUGAUGCGCGAAAGCGUGGGGAGCAAACGGGGAUUAAGAAACCC